rnacentral:rRNA from 1 species
AGUCGAGCGCCCCGCAAGGGGAGCGGCAGACGGGUGAGUAACGCGUGGGAACGUACCCUUUUCUACGGAAUAACGCAUGGAAACGUGUGCUAAUACCGUAUGUGCCCUUCGGGGGAAAGAUUUAUCGGAAAAGGAUCGGCCCGCGUUGGAUUAGCUAGUUGGUGGGGUAAAGGCCUACCAAGGCGACGAUCCAUAGCUGGUCUGAGAGGAUGAUCAGCCACAUUGGGACUGAGACACGGCCCAAACUCCUACGGGAGGCAGCAGUGGGGAAUAUUGGACAAUGGGCGCAAGCCCGAUCCAGCCAUGCCGCGUGUGUGAUGAAGGCCUUAGGGUUGUAAAGCACUUUCACCGGAGAAGAUAAUGACGGUAUCCGGAGAAGAAGCCCCGGCUAACUUCGUGCCAGCAGCCGCGGUAAUACGAAGGGGGCUAGCGUUGUUCGGAUUUACUGGGCGUAAAGCGCACGUAGGCGGAUCGAUCAGUCAGGGGUGAAAUCCCAGAGCUCAACUCUGGAACUGCCUUUGAUACUGUCGAUCUGGAGUAUGGAAGAGGUGAGUGGAAUUCCGAGUGU